GGUUUGAUUCUGGCUCAGAUUGAACGCUGGCGGGAUGCUGUAUAUUACGUAAGUCAGAACGGCAGCACGGACUUCGGUCUGGUGGUUAUGGCGAACGGGUGAGUAAUGUAUCAUGGAACGUGCCUAGUAGCGGGGAUAACUACGCGAAAAGCGUAGCUAAUACCGCAUACUGCCCUUCGGGGGAAAGCGGGGACCUUCGGGCCUCGCACUAUUAGAGCGGCCGAUAUCGGAUUAGCUAGUUGGUGGGGUAACGGCUCACCAAGGCGACGAUCCGUAGCUGGUUUGAGAGGACGACCAGCCACACUGGGACUGAGAUACGGUCUACCCAGACUCCUACGGAGGCAGCAGUGGGGAAUUUUGACAAUGGGGGAACCUCGAUCCAGCCAUCCUGCGUAAAGCAUGGCCUCGGGUUGUAAAAGCACUUUUGGCAGGAGAAGAAACGGCACGGGAUAAUACCCUGCAACUGACGGUACCUGCAGAACAGCACCGGCUAACUACGUGCCAGCAUGCGGUAAUACGUAAAAAAGGUGAAUCUAAUUACUGGCAGCGCAGGCGGUUCGGAAAGAAAAAGAUGUGAAACCGGUAGAGCUUAACUUUGAACCGCAUUUUAACUACCGAGCUAGAGUGUGUCAGAGGGAGGUGGAAUUCCGCGUGUAGCAGUGAAAUGCGGGAUAUGAGUAACACCGAUGGCGGGCAGCCUCUGGAGCAAUACCUUCCGACGCUCAGUGCACGAAAGCGGGGAGCAAACAGACGACACCUGGUAGUCCACGCCCUAAACGAGAUGUCAACUAGCUGUUGGGGCCUUCGCCUGUAGCGCAGCUAACGCGUUGACCGCCUGGGGAGUACGGUCGUGCAAGAUUAAAACUCAAAGGAAUUGAUGACCGCACAAGCGGUGGAUGAUGCAUUAAUUGAUGCAACGCGAAAAACCUUACCUACCCUUGACAUGUCUGGAACUUGAAGAGAUCAGAGUGCUCACGCAAGAACGGAACAUAUGGUGCCACAUGCCACGCCGUCACGAGAUGUUGGGUUAAGUCCCGCAACGAGCGCAACCCGUCAUUAGUUACACAGCGGCACUCUAAUGAUCACGGUGAGCAAACCGGAGGAAGGUGGGGAUGACGUCAAGUCCUCACACCUUAUGAACAUCACUGGUCAUACAAUGGUCGGGACAGGGUCGCCAACCCGCGAGGGGGAGCCAAUCCCAGAAACCUGAUCGUAGUCCGGAUCGCAGUCGCAACCUGACUGGGUAAGUUGGAAUCGCUAGUGACCGCGACUGGGGCAUGUCGCGGUGAAUACGUUCCCGGGUCUUGUACACACCGCCCGUCACACCAUGGGAGAGUGGUUUUACCAGAAGUAAAGAAGCCCAACCGGGUGAGGGCGAUUACCACGGUAGGAUUCAUGACUGGGGUGAAGUCGCACAAGGUAA
rnacentral:rRNA from 1 species